GACGAACGCUGGCGGCGUGCCUAAUACAUGCAAGUAGAACGCUGAAGAGAGGAGCUUGCUCUUCUUGGAUGAGUUGCGAACGGGUGAGUAACGCGUAGGUAACCUGCCUGGUAGCGGGGGAUAACUAUUGGAAACGAUAGCUAAUACCGCAUAAAAUUGAUUAUUGCAUGAUAAUUAAUUGAAAGAUGCAACUGCAUCACUACCAGAUGGACCUGCGUUGUAUUAGCUAGUUGGUGAGGUAACGGCUCACCAAGGCGACGAUACAUAGCCGACCUGAGAGGGUGAUCGGCCACACUGGGACUGAGACACGGCCCAGACUCCUACGGGAGGCAGCAGUAGGGAAUCUUCGGCAAUGGGGGGAACCCUGACCGAGCAACGCCGCGUGGGUGAAGAAGGUUUUCGGAUCGUAAAGCUCUGUUGUAAGAGAAGAACGGGUGUGAGAGUGGAAAGUUCACACUGUGACGGUAUCUUACCAGAAAGGGACGGCUAACUACGUG
rnacentral:rRNA from 1 species